rnacentral:rRNA from 1 species
AGCAAGCACCGGCUAACUCCGUGCCAGCAGCCGCGGUAAUACGGAGGGUGCAAGCGUUACUCGGAAUCACUGGGCGUAAAGCGCAUGCAGGCGGCCAAAUAAGUUGGAAGUGAAAGCCUACGGCUCAACCGCAGAACUGCUUCCAAAACUGUUUGGCUAGAGUCUGGGAGGGGAAGAUGGAAUUAGUAGUGUAGGGGUAAAAUCCGUAGAGAUUACUAGGAAUACCAAAAGCGAAGGCGAUCUUCUGGAACAGUACUGACGCUGAGAUGCGAAAGCGUGGGGAGCAAACAGGAUUAGAUACCCUGGUAGCCCACGCAGUAAACGAUGAAUGUUAGUCGUUGGGGGCCUAGUGUCUUCAGUGAUGCAGUUAACACAUUAAACAUUCCGCCUGGGGAGUACGGUCGCAAGAUUAAAACUCAAAGGAAUAGACGGGGACCCGCACAAGUGGUGGAGCAUGUGGUUUAAUUCGAAGAUACGCGAAGAACCUUACCUAGCCUUGACAUAUAAUGGAAUUCACCAGAGAUGGAGAAGUGCCUUCGGGAGCCAUAAUACAGGUGCUGCACGGCUGUCGUCAGCUCGUGUCGUGAGAUGUUGGGUUAAGUCCCGCAACGAGCGCAACCCUCGUUCUUAGUUACUAACGGUUAGGCCGAGGACUCUAAGAAGACUGCCUUCGUAAGGAGGAGGAAGGUGAGGACGACGUCAGUCAUCAUGGCCCUUACGGCUAGGGCAACACACGUGCUACAAUGGUUAGGACAAUGAGAAGCAAUAUCGCGAGGUGGAGCAAAUCUAUAAACCUAAUCUCAGUUCGGAUUGUAGUCUGCAACUCGACUACAUGAAGCUGGAAUCACUAGUAAUCGUAGAUC